GGGAGUAGAUGGGUUCUGGUGUGCCCCCUGGUCCUCAAAACCAGUGCGAGGAGUUAGAAGCUUCUUAGGUAGGUUCGAUUCCUACGUAUUCCCGCCA
rnacentral:tRNA from 3 species